rnacentral:rRNA from 1 species
GGUUAAGCGACUAAGCGUACACGGUGGAUGCCCUGGCAGUCAGAGGCGAUGAAGGACGUGCUAAUCUGCGAUAAGCGUCGGUAAGGUGAUAUGAACCGUUAUAACCGGCGAUUUCCGAAUGGGGAAACCCAGUGUGUUUCGACACACUAUCAUUAACUGAAUCCAUAGGUUAAUGAGGCGAACCGGGGGAACUGAAACAUCUAAGUACCCCGAGGAAAAGAAAUCAACCGAGAUUCCCCCAGUAGCGGCGAGCGAACGGGGAGCAGCCCAGAGCCUGAAUCAGUGUGUGUGUUAGUGGAAGCGUCUGGAAAGGCGCGCGAUACAGGGUGACAGCCCCGUACACAAAAAUGCACAUGCUGUGAGCUCGAUGAGUAGGGCGGGACACGUGGUAUCCUGUCUGAAUAUGGGGGGACCAUCCUCCAAGGCUAAAUACUCCUGACUGACCGAUAGUGAACCAGUACCGUGAGGGAAAGGCGAAAAGAACCCCGGCGAGGGGAGUGAAAAAGAACCUGAAACCGUGUACGUACAAGCAGUGGGAGCACGCUUAGGCGUGUGACUGCGUACCUUUUGUAUAAUGGGUCAGCGACUUAUAUUCUGUAGCAAGGUUAACCGAAUAGGGGAGCCGAAGGGAAACCGAGUCUUAACUGGGCGUUAAGUUGCAGGGUAUAGACCCGAAACCCGGUGAUCUAGCCAUGGGCAGGUUGAAGGUUGGGUAACACUAACUGGAGGACCGAACCGACUAAUGUUGAAAAAUUAGCGGAUGACUUGUGGCUGGGGGUGAAAGGCCAAUCAAACCGGGAGAUAGCUGGUUCUCCCCGAAAGCUAUUUAGGUAGCGCCUCGUGAAUUCAUCUCCGGGGGUAGAGCACUGUUUCGGCAAGGGGGUCAUCCCGACUUACCAACCCGAUGCAAACUGCGAAUACCGGAGAAUGUUAUCACGGGAGACACACGGCGGGUGCUAACGUCCGUCGUGAAGAGGGAAACAACCCAGACCGCCAGCUAAGGUCCCAAAGUCAUGGUUAAGUGGGAAACGAUGUGGGAAGGCCCAGACAGCCAGGAUGUUGGCUUAGAAGCAGCCAUCAUUUAAAGAAAGCGUAAUAGCUCACUGGUCGAGUCGGCCUGCGCGGAAGAUGUAACGGGGCUAAACCAUGCACCGAAGCUGCGGCAGCGACGCUUAUGCGUUGUUGGGUAGGGGAGCGUUCUGUAAGCCUGUGAAGGUGUGCUGUGAGGCAUGCUGGAGGUAUCAGAAGUGCGAAUGCUGACAUAAGUAACGAUAAAGCGGGUGAAAAGCCCGCUCGCCGGAAGACCAAGGGUUCCUGUCCAACGUUAAUCGGGGCAGGGUGAGUCGACCCCUAAGGCGAGGCCGAAAGGCGUAGUCGAUGGGAAACAGGUUAAUAUUCCUGUACUUGGUGUUACUGCGAAGGGGGGACGGAGAAGGCUAUGUUGGCCGGGCGACGGUUGUCCCGGUUUAAGCGUGUAGGCUGGUUUUCCAGGCAAAUCCGGAAAAUCAAGGCUGAGGCGUGAUGACGAGGCACUACGGUGCUGAAGCAACAAAUGCCCUGCUUCCAGGAAAAGCCUCUAAGCAUCAGGUAACAUCAAAUCGUACCCCAAACCGACACAGGUGGUCAGGUAGAGAAUACCAAGGCGCUUGAGAGAACUCGGGUGAAGGAACUAGGCAAAAUGGUGCCGUAACUUCGGGAGAAGGCACGCUGAUAUGUAGGUGAAGUCCCUCGCGGAUGGAGCUGAAAUCAGUCGAAGAUACCAGCUGGCUGCAACUGUUUAUUAAAAACACAGCACUGUGCAAACACGAAAGUGGACGUAUACGGUGUGACGCCUGCCCGGUGCCGGAAGGUUAAUUGAUGGGGUUAGCCGCAAGGCGAAGCUCUUGAUCGAAGCCCCGGUAAACGGCGGCCGUAACUAUAACGGUCCUAAGGUAGCGAAAUUCCUUGUCGGGUAAGUUCCGACCUGCACGAAUGGCGUAAUGAUGGCCAGGCUGUCUCCACCCGAGACUCAGUGAAAUUGAACUCGCUGUGAAGAUGCAGUGUACCCGCGGCAAGACGGAAAGACCCCGUGAACCUUUACUAUAGCUUGACACUGAACAUUGAGCCUUGAUGUGUAGGAUAGGUGGGAGGCUUAGAAGUGUGGACGCCAGUCUGCAUGGAGCCGACCUUGAAAUACCACCCUUUAAUGUUUGAUGUUCUAACGUUGACCCGUAAUCCGGGUUGCGGACAGUGUCUGGUGGGUAGUUUGACUGGGGCGGUCUCCUCCUAAAGAGUAACGGAGGAGCACGAAGGUUGGCUAAUCCUGGUCGGACAUCAGGAGGUUAGUGCAAUGGCAUAAGCCAGCUUGACUGCGAGCGUGACGGCGCGAGCAGGUGCGAAAGCAGGUCAUAGUGAUCCGGUGGUUCUGAAUGGAAGGGCCAUCGCUCAACGGAUAAAAGGUACUCCGGGGAUAACAGGCUGAUACCGCCCAAGAGUUCAUAUCGACGGCGGUGUUUGGCACCUCGAUGUCGGCUCAUCACAUCCUGGGGCUGAAGUAGGUCCCAAGGGUAUGGCUGUUCGCCAUUUAAAGUGGUACGCGAGCUGGGUUUAGAACGUCGUGAGACAGUUCGGUCCCUAUCUGCCGUGGGCGCUGGAGAACUGAGGAGGGCUGCUCCUAGUACGAGAGGACCGGAGUGGACGCAUCACUGGUGUUCGGGUUGUCAUGCCAAUGGCACUGCCCGGUAGCUAAAUGCGGAAGAGAUAAGUGCUGAAAGCAUCUAAGCACGAAACUUGCCCCGAGAUGAGUUCUCCCUGACUCCUUGAGAGUCCUGAAGGAACGUUGAAGACGACGACGUUGAUAGGCCGGGUGUGUAAGCGCAGCGAUGCGUUGAGCUAACCGGUACUAAUGAACCGUGAGGCUUAACCUU